rnacentral:lncRNA from 1 species
CUCCUCGGCCCCUACCUCCGCUACGGCCACCGCCUCCUCUAACGCUGGCAAAACCACCACCUCCGCCCCUACCUCCGCUACGGCCGCCGCGUACUGGGGGUCUCAUGUUAGGGUUUGAGAGGGAGACAAGGAGUUGGAUAGCUUAGCUUUAUAGGGAGGGUUUACUGGUUUAGGGUUCGAAUUUGUAUUUUAUUUUAAACAUAUUUGUUAGUUAGGAUACCGUGACGGUGCUGUGACCGCCAAUUGUGAACUACUAAGUGUACAAUGUGACAAUCACUUCAGAGAAACAGUUGGGUAUAUAAUUUCUACCGUAUUCCUUUUGAUAAAGAGUACUUGAAUAAUUAAUAUUAAUUUUAGACUUUCCAAAAUACAACUAUAAAAAAUAAUACCUCUUUUAAAAUAGAAGAUCAUCUGAAGUUGACUUAAUUUUUUAAUAUUAUUUUUAGUGAUCCUAAUUUUUAUCUUAAUAGCAUCAACCAUUUAUUAACAUAUUUUAUAAAAUAAUUAGUGUAGUUGAGCUGUGGAGGAAAUAAUUGGUUUGUGCAAGAUGAAGAUGGUAUACAAAAGAACUCGCAUCACAUUCUCAAUUCAGCAAAACCUUGUCAAAAUAUCCCCUACAAUCCAAAGAAACUGAAGAUGAAAGACUUCAGUAUAAAACCACAACAUAAUAAUAAAUAGACUGAGAUUCCAAAUAACUACAAGCCAACACUAUCUAGGCAGCAGCAGCUUUUUGUUUCUUUGGCACACGGUAUGCACCAACAACACAUGCAUGGUCUCUCUCAAAGGGUUCAAGGGUGACCUGCUCACUAGGCUUGAAUUGAUCUGCUUGUAGUUUCUUCACUUCCUGAGCAAAGACGGCCUCAGCCGGAACAGUCGAGUCUAUGCAGUUUGCCUGUAAAUUUCAGACAACAGGAGUUAAAUCCCGAGAAAACCUGGUUGGUAGCUUCUUUUUAAAUUAUGCACAAUGUACAUGUGUAGCCCACACUAAAAAAAUAACCUUUACACAUGACACCUAUAAAUACUCUUGACAACAAUUAUAUUUCAGCAUUUCAUUUAUUAAAAUUCCAACACUAAGAUGCAAACCUUGAUUGAUAUAACAAAAUGACCUCCAGCUUUCAAGAAGUACGAUGCAUUCAAAGCCAAAAUUCUUGCCUGCAAAUAUAGCAAUCAAAGAACUGUUUACACAUUUUUUAUAUAAAAAAAAUGUCAAAAACCAUGAAAACAAAAGGAUGAAAUCUUGCAGAUACGAAACAUGCAAUCUCUGAGAACUUUAACUACAAGAUCAAAAGAUGGUAUGUAUCAGUCGGCCUUAUAUUUUCGUUACAGAGAAAGGAGUUUUCAUUGAUACACCACGAUCAAAAAAUCAAAUCAUCAGAAAACUCUAACUGCACAAUUCAAAAAAUAACUUACUAGCAGCAUAAAGAAAAUAAUUUCAAAUUGGAACACAUGCUUGCACAGGUAACCAACUAAUUCCACAGGCUCCACGCAAGAAUCCAACAAAAUUCAUUCACCUCCAACUUGGGCUAUUUAUUAAAAGUUGUUAUAAGAAAACAUAUAAAAUUGAAAAAAAAAUGGUGCCAACAAGUACGCGACAACAAAUGUGACUCAUAUUUAAAAGCAGAUAGGGCUAGUCAAACUUUAAAAUAUUUAAACAUGCAUCAGAAACUCGGUUUUGCAUCAUCCAUGAUGUCCUGAAGGGGAAUCCGAGUAACUCAUCAUCAGCUUGCUGAAAUAAAUAGAAGUACUCCUCAACUAAUUAUGCAGAGACAUAGCAGAAAAGUUGCAUAAACCUGGACCCAGUCAACCUUCAUGAACUAUGGCAAUGAAAGAAUUUCUAGAAACAAGGAGAAACAAUUCUAGAUUUUCAUAAAUGCAUCAGAAAAAGGAGCAACUCUUGUCAAAAUAAAAUAGAUUUUCAUAAAUGCAUCAGAAACUCGGUUUUGCAUCACCCAUGAUGUCCUGAAGGGGAAUCCGAGUAACUCAUCAUCUGCUCGUUGGUAAUGUUUUGUUAUGUACAAACAUAUAAAUACAUAUACUGAUAUACAUAUAUAUAUAUAUAUAACAUAAAAACAUCAACUUUGAUGUCUUAAAUUUAAAGACCAUAUGUAUGCAAGAGAAAAUUAGUUUUAAAAAAAUGGAAGAAGUGAAAAGAAGACCAAUCAAAAGCAAAAAAAAUAAAGGUAUGAAGAUGAAUAAAAUAAAGCCCUAAGGUUUAAAUACAAAAUGGAAUGCAUUAGUUCUAUGCAUGCCAACACAAUUGAAAUAAACAGUAAAGAUGUUCUAAAAAUCAAUUGAAAUCACUUGGUAUUGAUAUAAUGAAAAUUAGCCUAAAUAACAUUUUGGACAUUCCACCUUUCCAGCGAGGAACUAGUUACUGUAGCUUAAAUCUCAAAUAAAGUAAUUCCGACUUUGAGGGAAGAAUUAAACUCGUGAAAAAAUAAAGAUGUUAAAAAUGGUUAAAAGACAAAAACUACUUUACAUUAAAACCCAACAAUAAAUACAAUUAUAAAAUAACAUGUAUGAAAGCAAAUCCUCCAAUCCUUAGAAAUAACAGAUGUAAUAUAUUUAACAAAAGCAAACCUGAUCAGGCUGAGCAACAUCAGAAAAUAUCACAUCAACCAUCCCAACAAGCAUACGAUACUUGGCUGGAUGCCUAGCAUCCUCAAUAAUAGGUAUAACAUUAGUUCGCUUCUUUGCCAUGUUAACCAAGUCCCUACCACUUCUGUGAGAAAAUUCAACAGCAUAGACUACUCCAGACUACAAUUAUUGAGAGUGUGUAUUAUUAGUACAUGCAUCUCAUUAGUAAAACAAAGCACAGAAUUGGGUUAAGUUUAAUUUGGACUACUUACAGGGCCAACAAGAUCAGACACAUGAGAGACGGUUGUUCCAGAAGCAGCUCCAAGAUACAGAACCCGAGCACCAGGUUUCUUUAUCCAAUAAGAUGAGACAAUUAGAAACCAACAUACAUAAUAAUAGCAAAACACAGACUGCAAACUCAACCAUAACCAAAUAUGUAUUAGGACAAAAAACAAACACUUACUAUCCAGAUGUUGUCAACUCCUCCAAGAAUGGCAGCCGCCAACUUAGAACGGAAGGGAUUCCAUACCCUGUACUCAACCUUAGUUCCAUCUUCAUUCUGUUGGGAAAAAACAAAAAAGUAAAUCAGUACCAGAACCUUUACAGAUGUAAUUAAUUAAGUGGUCUCAAACAAAUGACAGAUUAAUACAUUAUUCAAAAGAGAUAUCUUGUGUGGCAUUGAGCUAUCUUAAACAAUGUUAAACAAGUUUCUGUAAAAAUCUUUUAUUUAACAAUCUAUCAGAUACAGUUGAAUAGCUACAACCAUAUGGGAAACCUGAAACAGGCAUGAUUAGCCAAAAAAAUAAAUUUCACUCUAUUAGAAACUCAAUGCCACAAUCAAAUAAAAACAAGAAAUGAUACGACUGGCAUUGAAAAAUAAAAAAAAUGUCAGAAUUUUUUAAUAUUAAAAAUAAUUUGAAGCAAUUGAAUAAUAUGCAACAAAGGAACAAGUAUAGAUUGCCAAUUACAAAUUAAGUAAACAUGUACCAAUACUUGGAGGCUACCAGCAACCAAUUAACUAUACAUCAAAUAAAUGAGUAAGAACUCUGCAACUUGGUAAAACCAAAACUUAAAAGCAACUUAAACAAUUAACAGGGAUUACAAAUGAACAAAUCUAAAUGUGCUUAUUAAAGAAACAUGUUCUACCAAAAAUGCUUACAAAUAAACACAUCUAAAUGUGCUUUCUAUUACCACAUAUCAUGACAAGCUCAAGAUUAAAUUCACACAUGUCUCCAAUUCCCAAAAAUGUUCCGCAUAAUUUCAACCACAAAAAAAAAGAUAAAAAAAAUACUCACUGUAUUCAGUACAUUAAAAACGCAACAACUUAAACCUUUGCUUACCCACUAACUUCAAAUGAUUAUACAACAAAAUUAACUUAUCAACACAAACACAAAAUCAGAACUUUAAUUAAAUUAAUAAGUUUCAACGAAGAUACCUGAACGGAUACCCUCUUCUCAUUGUACACAGCUUCACCAGGAACCAUGUUCUUAGUACAAAGAGCAUCUUCUUUUCCCUUAGCAAUAAACACACCUUCGUGUCUAUGAGGCUCAACCACAACUUUGCUACCACCUUUCAU